AUUGAACGCUGGCGGAAUGCUUUACACAUGCAAGUCGAGCGGCAGCGCGGGGCAACCUGGCGGCGAGCGGCGAACGGGUGAGUAAUACAUCGGAACGUGCCCAGACGUGGGGGAUAACUACUCGAAAGAGUGGCUAAUACCGCAUACGAUCUAAGGAUGAAAGCGGGGGAUCGCAAGACCUCGCGCGUUUGGAGCGGCCGAUGGCAGAUUAGGUAGUUGGUGGGGUAAAGGCUUACCAAGCCCGCGAUCUGUAGCUGGUCUGAGAGGAUGAUCAGCCACACUGGGACUGAGACACGGCCCAGACUCCUACGGGAGGCAGCAGUGGGGAAUUUUGGGACAAUGGGCGAAAGCCUGAUCCAGCCAUUCCGCGUGCAGGAUGAAGGCCCUCGGGUUGUAAACUGCUUUUGUACAGAACGAAAAAGACUCUUUCUAAUACAGAGAGUCCAUGACGGUACUGUAAGAAUAAGCAACCGGCUAACUACGUGCCAGCAGCCGCGGUAAU
rnacentral:rRNA from 1 species